UAGUGUGAAUGAGUGAAGCUGCCAGCAUGAUCUAGCUCUGAUUAAUCGGCACUGUUGGCGUACAGUCGAUUGACUAAUCGUCAGAUCUGUGUGUGUAAAUCACUGUUAGAUCAUGCAUGACAGCCUCAUUUCUUCACACU
rnacentral:pre_miRNA from 18 species